rnacentral:rRNA from 1 species
GAUGAACGCUGGCGGCGUGCCUAAUACAUGCAAGUCGAGCGAACAGACGAGGAGCUUGCUCCUCUUACGUUAGCGGCGGACGGGUGAGUAACACGUGGAUAACCUACCUAUAAGACUGGGAUAACUUCGGGAAACCGGCGCUAAUACCGGAUAAUAUAUUGAACAGCAUGGUUCAAUAGUGAAAGACGGUUUUGCUGUCACUUAUAGAUGGAUCCGCGCCGCAUUAGCUGGUUGGUAAGGUAACGGCUUACCAAGGCAACGAUGCGUAGCCGACCUGAGAGGGUGAUCGGCCACACUGGAACUGAAACAGGGUCCAGACUCCUACGGGAGGCAGCAGUAGGGAAUCUUCCGCAAUGGGCGAAAGCUUGACGGAGCAACGCCGCGUGAGUGAGGAAGGUCUUCGGAUCGUAAAACUCUGUUAUUAGGGAAGAACAAAUGUGUAAGUAACUAUGCACGUCUUGACGGUACCUAAUCAGAAAGCCACGGCUAACUACGUG